rnacentral:rRNA from 1 species
UACGUAGGCAGCGAGCGUUGUUCGGAGUUACUGGGCGUAAAGGGUGUGUAGGCGGUUGUUUAAGUUUGGUGUGAAAUCUCCCGGCUCAACUGGGAGGUGCGCCGAAUACUGAAUGACUUCGAGUACGGGAGAGGUGAGUGGAAUUCCUGGUGUAGCGGUGGAAUGCGCAGAUAUCAGGAGGAACACCAAUAGCGAAGGCAGCUCGCUGGGACGUUACUGACACUGAGGCGCGAAAGCGUGGGGAGCGAACAGG